rnacentral:rRNA from 1 species
AGACAGAGGGUGCAAACGUUGUUCGGAAUUACCGGGCGUAAAGCGCGUGUAGGCGGCUAUGCAAGUCGGAUGUGAAAGCCCGCGGCUCAACCGUGGAAGUGCAUCCGAAACUGCGUGGCUAGAGUCCCGGAGAGGAAGGUGGAAUACUUGGUGUAGAGGUGAAAUUCGUAGAUAUCAAGUGGAACACCGGUGGCGAAGGCGGCCUUCUGGACGGUGACUGACGCUGAGACGCGAAAGCGUGGGUAGCAAACAGGAUUAGAUACCCUGGUAGUCCACGCCGUAAACGAUGAGUGCUAGGUGUCAGAGGCUUUGACCCUUCUGGUGCCGAAGCUAACGCGUUAAGCACUCCGCCUGGGGAGUACGGCCGCAAGGCUAAA